UCAUGGCAAUCUCUUUCACGUUGAAAGAGAGUGAAAGAAAAGCAACAGCGGAAAGGUCAACCAAAUUGUACCCCAUUUGCUGUCCUACACCGAGAGUGCGAAAACGUCAGGGCAGUGCUGCAUGUUUUACAAUGUUCACGUCAGCUUUUUGUACGUGUGUGCGUGUGUUGCGGCAUCAUUUGGAAUACGUGUGUGUCACUUCUUAUACAAUUGUCUCCUUAAUGUUCUUGUUACGAACACAUCUCAUAGUCAUGUUAUAUUAAGUGCAUAAAAAACCGUCUCUACGGACUCUAUCCGCGAUAGCCUGCGUGACCGCCUCGUAUGUAUUUCACUCUGCCCUUAGGUUUUCUCAAUUUUUUAUGCACCAGAUAUCGUAUAUGUACAUAGUGCUUAUGACAAUUCUUUUCCUUUAUUCUUAUUUUACUCUUUCCAGUUUUUAUUGUUUUUGAAUGUUUCUUCAAUUACUAAUAUCAUGUUGAUAGGAUAGCCGGCUGUAAUCUAGCCUACCUUGCCAUCUUUUUUCAUAUAUAUAUAUAUAUAACAGUGUUCAAUUUUAUUUCCAGCAAAAGCUACAACCGUUCUAUUCCUAAUAAUCGCUGUGGCGUCGUUCGUCAUAACAACUGCUGCUGUCGCUGUAUACUGCCUGUGGCCGCAGGUUACUUCAGGAAUUAAAAGAAAGCCACCUACCGAAGAAGAUGAGACGGAGCUGCACACAAUCAAGCCAUGGCUGAGGGUUCGCCGUAAACUGUGUCCCAAUGCUGUGUUCGGAGAAGACAAGGAUGAACAUCUUUUUAACUGAAAAUUUGUGUGUAUAAAUGGACGAUUACGAAUUCGUCA